GUGAAUUCGUCUGGGAUCUAACCUAUCGCAAAGCAUCUCUUUACCACACAAUGGGUCUCUCUGGCUUGAUCAUGCGGUGGAGAGGGGCCUUGGGAUAGUGGGACCUGAGAUUUUAGACAGAGGAUCCCUGUGAAAGGUGAAGAAUACCGGAAAAGAAUCUCUACAAUGGGGACUGGCUGCUGGAAUGUACCAGGUCUCACCUAUGGGCUAAAAGAGGCCCGUGGAACUCAUGAUUGGAAAAACAGUGUGGUGGCAGGGGCAAUUACAGGCGUGGCACCGGCACUUACAUCAGAUAAUUCUUCUCUUGAGCAGAUUGUGCAGAGUGCUACUACUGGUGCUGCAAUCUCCACUGCCGCGAAUGUUCUUGCAGGGAUAUUCUAAGGUGACGGUGGGCGAUGCCAGGGAAUUUAGUUGCUUUCCUGUAUAUUCUAUAUGCGAAAUGUCUAGUUUCUGUUGAACAAUGACCCUGCUAGGACUUCUUUUUGUGCUUUGUAAAGGAACGCACUCCAUAUCUUAGGAGCAUCUAUAGUGGUUGGCUACUCAACUUCAGAUUUUAUUCUUAUUUCUUAAUGCAAUUUUGGUUGGUUCAAGUUGAACGUGUUUUAACGGUUCCUUUAUGGGUGUCAAUAAGAAGUAUGAUUCGAAAUCAUCUGCUCUAGGACACUAGAAUUGUAACAGAAAGGAAUUUCAUUCUUUCACCACACCAUCUUGCCUCUUUUUGCAAUCUUUGGCCUUAAAACACGAUUUUCAUGCAUGAUUUAAUAAUUGUGUGUUGUGAUGCAUAAAACGACUGGCUUUGAUUGCACAGGGACCUUCCGGGCAGCCACUAAUUUUAGAAGCAUAGUUACUAUUGAUGGUGAAGGGCAGGCUUCGCGUAGCGGUAAAGCUAUCCUUGGUGACCUGGUGGUCACGGGGUUUGAGUUGCGAAAACAGACUGUCUUCAUUUGUAGUACGUCAACCCUUCAGAUUCCGUUUAAGCGGAAAUUUCAUGUACUGUGUACGCCCUUUAGUUACUAUUGAUUGUAUUAAUCAUUUCAUAUAUACUAUUGAUUAUAUUAAUCAUUUGAUAUAUAGAGUUCAAUGUAUGACUAUGGCAACA